rnacentral:rRNA from 1 species
GACGAACGCUGGCGGCGUGCUUAACACAUGCAAGUCGAACGGAAAGGCCCUGCUUUUGUGGGGUGCUCGAGUGGCGAACGGGCGAGUAACACGUGAGUAACCUGCCCUUGACUUUGGGAUAACUUCAGGAAACUGGGGCUAAUACCGGAUAGGAGCUCCUGCUGCAUGGUGGGGGUUGGAAAGUUUCGGCGGUUGGGGAUGGACUCGCGGCUUAUCAGCUUGUUGGUGGGGUAGUGGCUUACCAAGGCUUUGACGGGUAGCCGGCCUGAGAGGGCGACCGGCCACAUUGGGACUGAGAUACGGCCCAGACCCCUACGGGAGGCAGCAGUGGGGAAUAUUGCACAAUGGGCGGAAGCCUGAUGCAGCAACGCCGCGUGCGGGAUGACGGCCUUCGGGUUGUAAACCGCUUUCGCCUGUGACGAAGCGUGAGUGACGGUAAUGGGUAAAGAAGCACCGGCUAACUACGUGCCAGCAGCCGCGGUGAUACGUAGGGUGCGAGCGUUGUCCGGAUUUAUUGGGCGUAAAGGGCUCGUAGGUGGUUGAUCGCGUCGGAAGUGUAAUCUUGGGGCUUAACCCUGAGCGUGCUUUCGAUACGGGUUGACUUGAGGAAGGUAGGGGAGAAUGGAAUUCCUGGUGGAGCGGUGGAAUGCGCAGAUAUCAGGAGGAACACCAGUGGCGAAGGCGGUUCUCUGGGCCUUUCCUGACGCUGAGGAGCGAAAGCGUGGGGAGCGAACAGGCUUAGAUACCCUGGUAGUCCACGCUGUAAACGGUGGGUACUAGGUGUGGGGUCCAUUCCACGGGUUCCGUGCCGUAGCUAACGCUUUAAGUACCCCGCCUGGGGAGUACGGCCGCAAGGCUAAAACUCAAAGGAAUUGACGGGGCCCCGCACAAGCGGCGGAGCAUGCGGAUUAAUUCGAUGCAACGCGUAGAACCUUACCUGGGUUUGACAUGGAUCGGGAGUGCUCAGAGAUGGGUGUGCCUCUUUUGGGGUCGGUUCACAGGUGGUGCAUGGCUGUCGUCAGCUCGUGUCGUGAGAUGUUGGGUUAAGUCCCGCAACGAGCGCAACCCUUGUUCACUGUUGCCAGCACGUUAUGGUGGGGACUCAGUGGAGACCGCCGGGGUCAACUCGGAGGAAGGUGGGGAUGACGUCAAGUCAUCAUGCCCCUUAUGUCCAGGGCUUCACGCAUGCUACAAUGGCUGGUACAGAGAGUGGCGAGCCUGUGAGGGUGAGCGAAUCUCGGAAAGCCGGUCUCAGUUCGGAUUGGGGUCUGCAACUCGACCUCAUGAAGUCGGAGUCGCUAGUAAUCGCAGAUCAGCAACGCUGCGGUGAAUACGUUCCCGGGGCU